rnacentral:lncRNA from 1 species
UUUAAUUAUUUAAUAAAUUCCGAAAAUUAAGUUGGGACCCUAAAUUCUCAGAAUUUUGUGCUGAUUGCUGCUGUGUAUUCAGAUUAUGAAUUUGAUGAUUAGAUAUUACAAAUUGAGCGAUGAUUUGUGCAAUUAAUUAUUGAAUUGUUGUGUGCUGGUUGAAAGACUCGGGUCGCAGUAGUGGCUAGGCCGACUGGACCUUUGUUCUUCUAGGAAUGCCGUCGAGAGAGUGACGUGGCUCGGGUCGCAGUAGUGGCUAGGCCGACUGGACCUUUGUUCUUUUAGAAAUGCUGUCAAGAGAGUGAUGUGGUGCCGAUCGCAGUAGAGGCUGGGCCGACUGGAUCGAUGCUCCUUCGGGAAUGCCGUCGACGUAGAGACGAAGCCGUGCUCCAAGGGGGGGAGACGAUGCUCCUUCGGGAAUGCCGUCGACGUACUGACGAAGCCGCGCUCCAUGGGGGGGGAGGCGAUGCCUGGCUAUAUGCCAGUAGAUAGCCGAACUGCGAGUAGGCUAUGCCCUUGUGUGGCAGUGAAUAAC